rnacentral:rRNA from 1 species
GACGAACGCUGGCGGCGUGCUUAACACAUGCAAGUCUACGAGAAAAGGGUAGCAAUAUCCUGAGUAAAGUGGCGCACGGGUGAGUAACACGUAGGCAAUCUGCCUUUAGGACGGGGACAACCUCGAGAAAUCGAGGCUAAUACCCGAUGAUGCAGCGGCACCGCAUGGUGACAGUUGUUAAAGGCCCGCAAGGGCGCCUAUUGAUGAGCCUGCGUCCCAUUAGGUAGUUGGCGGGGUAAUAGCCCACCAAGCCUUCGAUGGGUAGCUGGUCUGAGAGGAUGAUCAGCCACACUGGAACUGAGACACGGUCCAGACUCCUACGGGAGGCAGCAGUGAGGAAUAUUGCGCAAUGGCCGAAAGGCUGACGCAGCGACGCCGCGUGAAGGAUGAAGUCCGUUAGGAUGUAAACUUCUUUUGCAGGGGAUGAAUGUCCCGACUUCGGUCGGGAUUGACCGUACCCUGCGAAUAAGGAUCGGCUAACUACGUG